rnacentral:piRNA from 1 species
UGCUUGUGUGCUCAUGAAGACAUGCC